rnacentral:rRNA from 1 species
GACAGAGGGGGCAAGCGUUGCUCGGAAUCACUGGGCAUAAAGGGCGCGUAGGCGGGAUGGCAAGUCGGUCGUGAAAUCUCUCGGCUCAACCGAGAAACGUCGGCCGAUACUGCCGUUCUUGAGGGAUGCAGAGGAGACUGGAAUUCCCGGUGUAGCGGUGAAAUGUGUAGAGAUCGGGAGGAACACCGGUGGCGAAGGCGGGUCUCUGGGCAUUUCCUGACGCUGAGGCGCGAAAGCGUGGGGAGCAAACGGG